GUGUGGAACAGACUUCCUACAAAGAUGCGUCUUGCUUACUGUCAUAUCAUCCCCUCUGACAAUAUUUUUUGUGAUUUAUGUAUAGAUCAAAUUGAAGAUUACUCUCAUCCUGUUAUUGAAUGCCAGUUUGUCAAAAUUUGUUGGCAGUUAUGUGCCACUUGACUUUCUUUCCGGAUUCUUUGCCAGCUAUGGUUCAGCAUUUAGCCACAGC
rnacentral:lncRNA from 1 species